UACCAUAAUUUCACUCGACCCCUUUAAUUGUACUGAGAACUUCUAUAAAAUUAUAGAACUUUUUAUGCUAGAACUAGUAACAAGAGGUAAAACCUCUCUAUAAUGCAAGUAUAAGCCAGCAAGAAUCCGUCACUGUCAACUAACAGACCUAAACAAAAGUAGCAACCUACCCAGAAAACCCUACCUACCUUAACUGUUAACCUAAUACUAGAGCAUUUCAAGAAAGAUUAAAAGAAAGAGAAGGAACUCGGCAAAUAUUAGCCCCGCCUGUUUACCAAAAACAUCGCCUCUUGCUAUUAUAAGAGGUCUAGCCUGCCCAGUGACUUCUGUUCAACGGCCGCGGUAUCCUAACCGUGCGAAGGUAGCGUAAUCACUUGUCUUCUAAAUAGAGACCAGUAUGAAAGGCAUCACGAGGGCUAAACUGUCUCCUCCCCCUAAUCAGUGAACCUAAUCCCCCCGUGAAGAAGCGGGGAUUUUUUUAUAAGACGAGAAGACCCUAUGGAGCUUAAAACAUCACACACCUGCUGCUAUUUUUUAUUUACCCAGGUAUUUCCCCCCCCCCGGCAGGCUGAUUAAAUGUUUUUGGUUGGGGUGACCGUGGAGAAAAAUUUAUCCUCCACAAUGAAAGGAAUUACUCCUAAACAGCAAGCUACAACUUUAUGUAUCAGCAAACUGACAUCCAUUGACCCAAUAUAUUGAUUAACGAACCAAGUUACCCUAGGGAUAACAGCGCAAUCCACUUUGAGAGCCCCUAUCGACAAGUGGGCUUACGACCUCGAUGUUGGAUCGGGGUAUCCUAGUGGUGCAGCCG
rnacentral:rRNA from 1 species